rnacentral:tRNA from 1 species
UGGUGUAAUGGUCAAACACACUCGACGCGUAAUCGAGAGGCCCGUGGUUCGAGUCCCGG